rnacentral:rRNA from 1 species
GAACGCGUCUCCGUUAAUGAUUUUAGGUGCUUGCACUUGAGAGAUUUAACAUUGAGACGAGUGGCGAACUGGUGAGUAACACGUGGGUAACCUGCCCUUGAAGUAGGGGAUAACACUUGGAAACAGGUGCUAAUACCGUAUAACAACCAAAACCACCUGGUUUUGGUUUAAAAGACGGCUUCGGCUGUCACUUUAGGAUGGACCCGCGGCGUAUUAGCUUGUUGGUAAGGUAACGGCCUACCAAGGCGAUGAUACGUAGCCGACCUGAGAGGGUAAUCGGCCACAUUGGGACUGAGACACGGCCCAAACUCCUACGGGAGGCAGCAGUAGGGAAUCUUCCACAAUGGACGAAAGUCUGAUGGAGCAACGCCACGUGAGUGAUGAAGGGUUUCGGCUCGUAAAACUCUGUUGUUGGAGAAGAACAGGUGUCAGAGUAACUGUUGACAUCUUGACGGUAUCCAACCAGAAAGCCACGGCUAACUACGUGCCAGCAGCCGCGGUAAUACGUAGGUGGCAAGCGUUGUCCGGAUUUAUUGGGCGUAAAGCGAGCGCAGGCGGUUUUUUAGGUCUGAUGUGAAAGCCUUCGGCUUAACCGGAGAAGUGCAUCGGAAACCGGGAGACUUGAGUGCAGAAGAGGACAGUGGAACUCCAUGUGUAGCGGUGAAAUGCGUAGAUAUAUGGAAGAACACCAGUGGCGAAGGCGGCUGUCUGGUCUGUAACUGAC